AUACGUAGGGGGCGAGCGUUGUCCGGAAUGAUUGGGCGUAAAGGGCGCGUAGGCGGCCCGGUAAGUCUGGAGUGAAAGUCCUGCUUUUAAGGUGGGAAUUGCUUUGGAUACUGUCGGGCUUGAGUGCAGGAGAGGUAAGUGGAAUUCCCAGUGUAGCGGUGAAAUGCGUAGAGAUUGGGAGGAACACCAGUGGCGAAGGCGACUUACUGGACUGUAACUGACGCUGAGGCGUGAAAGUGUGGGGAGCAAACAGGAGUAGAUACCCUGGUAGUCCACACUGUAAACGAUGAAUGCUAGGUGUAGGGAGUAUCGACCCCUUCUGUGCCGCAGUUAACACAAUAAGCAUUCCGCCUGGGGAGUACGGCCGCAAGGUUGAAACUUAAAGGAAUUGACGGUG
rnacentral:rRNA from 1 species